UACGGAGGGUGCGAGCGUUGUCCGGAAUCACUGGGCGUAAAGGGCGCGUAGGCGGCGCGGGUAGUCAUCGGUGAAAGUUCAGGGCUCAACUCUGAAUCGGCCGGUGAUACUCCCGUGCUCGAGCACUGUAGAGGCAGGUGGAAUUCCGGGUGUAGCGGUGGAAUACGUAGAGAUCCGGAAGAACACCGGUGGCGAAGGCGGCCUGCUGGGCAGUAGCUGACGCUGAUGCGCGACAGCGUGGGGAGCAAACAGG
rnacentral:rRNA from 1 species